UACGUAGGCAGCAAGCGUUGUUCGGAGUUACUGGGCGUAAAGGGUGCGUAGGCGGCUUUUUAAGUUUGGUGUGAAAUCUCCCGGCUCAACUGGGAGGGUGCGCCGAAUACUGAGAGGCUAGAGUGUGGGAGAGGAAAGUGGAAUUCCUGGUGUAGCGGUGAAAAUGCGUAGAUAUCAGGAGGAACACCGGUGGUGUAAACGGCUUUCUGGACCAUAACUGACGCUGAGGCACGAAAGCGUGGGUAGCAAAACAGG
rnacentral:rRNA from 1 species